CCUACGGGAGGCAGCAGUGGGGAAUAUUGCACAAUGGGCGCAAGCCUGAUGCAGCGACGCCGCGUGAGGGAUGACGGCCUUCGGGUUGUAAACCUCUUUCAGCAGGGACGAAGCGCAAGUGACGGUACCUGCAGAAGAAGCACCGGCCAACUACGUGCCAGCAGCCGCGGUAAUACGUAGGGUGCAAGCGUUGUCCGGAAUUACUGGGCGUAAAGAGCUCGUAGGCGGUUUGUCGCGUCGUCUGUGAAACCAGCAGCUCAACUGUUGGCUUGCAGGCGAUACGGGCAGACUUGAGUAUUUCAGGGGAGACUGGAAUUCCUGGUGUAGCGGUGAAAUGCGCGGAUAUCAGGAGGAACACCGGUGGCGAAGGCGGGUCUCUGGGAAAUAACUGACGCUGAGGAGCGAAAUCGUGGGUAGCGAACAGGAUUAGAUACCCUGGUAGUCCACGCCGUAAACGGUGGGCGCUAGGUGUGGGUUUCCUUCCACGGGAUCCGUGCCGUAGCUAACGCAUUAAGCGCCCCGCCUGGGGNGACGCGCGAGACAACUACAAGAAGUAGACGCGNGAGACGNGCCGACGGACGACGACGAGGGAGAGG
rnacentral:rRNA from 1 species